CCUCUGGCUUUUUUAUUUUUUUCUCCUCCACUCAGACCUCAUUCUUCUCCACUGACCCAGAGAACACAGUGAAGAAGAAAUAAAAGGAGGGAAAAUAGAGGAGUUAGUGGAGAAAGAUAGAGACAAGUGGAUUACCCUUUCCUGGAGGAACCUCGUACAGAAGAGUGAGAGGGACAAUAGCAGGCACACUUUCCCCUGUGCCGCAUCUUCUCGUGCAUACAUCUCCUGCUGAGUGUGUGUGUAUCGUGCGGGUCUGUUUGGCCAGACUUGAGCCGUGUGGAUCUAUCUGGCCGGGCUGAAGCCAUGGGGCUGGCCAGCAGGGUGGCAGGAAGAGGGGGCACUUCAGCAGGGGCUCUUGCCACCCUCUUCAGAGUAGCUCUGCUCUUUUUUGGGCUUUGGGAUGUCCAGACGCAAACAGUCGCCAACACAAAACCCACUUACAUCUGGCAAACAGGGCCGUGGGGUAGGUGCAUGGGCAGCGAGUGUGGUCCGGGAGGAAGUCAAAGCAGAGCAGUAUGGUGUGCCCAUUCCGAGGGCUGGACCACGUUACACACCAACUGCCAGCAGUCGGAGCGACCCAGCAACCAACAGAGCUGCUUCCGGGUGUGCGAUUGGCACAAAGAGCUGUACGACUGGCAGCUAGGGGCCUGGAACCAGUGCGUGCCGGUGUCUAUGCGCAGUGCAGGUGUGCCAAGGCCAGCGGUGUGCACUCGGGGCGAAGAGGGCAUUCAGACGCGGGAAGUGGGCUGCGUGCACAAAUCGGAUGGCGUUCCCGCAGAAGAUACCAUCUGCGAGUACUUUGAGCCCAAGCCACGGUUAGAGCAGGCUUGCCUUAUCCCGUGCCCACGCGACUGCGUGGUGUCCGAAUUCUCCCCAUGGACGUCCUGCUCUAAGAGUUGUGGGAUGGGCCUGCAGAACCGCUUGCGAUGGGUUCUAGCCCCGCCCCUUUUUGGCGGUUCGGCUUGCCCCAACCUCACAGAGUUCCACACCUGCCAGCCGGGCCCCUGCGAGGGUGAGGAAAGCCUGCACAGCCUGAGGGUGGGACCUUGGGGCCCCUGCAUGGCUUCACCUAUACGACAGACCCGAGAAGCCAGAGAGCCCAAACCUGAACGGAAAGCAAAGCGAGAUCGGCAGGCCAGACAGGAACGCCAGGGCAAGCGUCGCAAGAACAAAGAGAAAAAAGAGGUGAAGGAAAACAAAGGAGAACGUGUGAAGGACAGGGUCAGGGUGAAGGGAAGGAUGAGGGACCCUGAGACCCAAGAGCUCAUCAAAAAGAAAAGGACGAGGAAUCGUCAGAACCGCCAGGGGUUGAAGUUCUGGGACCUGCAGGUGGGCUACCAGACCCGGGAGGUGACAUGUGUUCACCGGAGCGGAAGCACAGCGGCGCUCAGCCAGUGUAACCAGCAGACUCUUCCUGUGACAUAUCAAGCCUGUGUCAUCCCAAAGGACUGUGAAGUGGCCGAGUGGUCAGACUGGUCUGCCUGCUCAAAGGAGUGCUAUGAUCUGAAUGGGCGUAAGGGACAGCGGACACGCACACGUCAGGUGAAGCAGUUCCCCGUGGGUGGAGGAGCUGAGUGUCCUGAGCUGGAGGAGAGUGAACCGUGUUCUCCUCAAGGAGAAGGAAUCCCGCCGUGUAUAGUGUAUAAUUGGCGAACCACAGAGUGGAGUGACUGCAGGGUGGAUGUGCUCCUCAGCCAACAGGACCGUCGCCGGAGCAACCAGACAGGGCUCUGUGGAGGCGGGGUUCAAACCAGGGAGGUCUACUGCGUUCAAGCCCCCACUGAAACCUCAUCUAACCUCAGCUCUCUCAAGAACAAAGACGGCUUGCGGCCAGUGAACAGUGACCUGUGUUUGGGCGUUUCUCCUAACACCACCCAGCUCUGCCAUAUUCCCUGUCCUGUGGAGUGUGAGGUGUCCUCCUGGAGCGCAUGGGGGCCCUGCACCUUUGAAAACUGCCAGGAUCAGUCCACAAAGAAAGGUUUCAAACUGAGGAAAAGGAAAAUCCUGAAUGAGCCCACAGGUGGCACAGGAAAUUGUCCCCACCUGACGGAGGCAAUUCCCUGUGAGGAGCCCAGUUGCUAUGAAUGGCUGCUGGUGAAGCUGGAGGAGUGUGUGCCUGACAAUGACAAAGUAUGUGGACCCGGAACCCAGAACCCACAGGCACAGUGCGUCAACAGUGACGGUGAAUAUGUGGACAGGCAGCUGUGCCGGGAUGCCAUCCUUCCCAUGCCUGUGCUGUGCGAGGUGCCCUGCCCCAAAGACUGUGUGCUCAGUCCCUGGACUUCAUGGUCUCUGUGCUCCAAUACCUGCUCGGGGAAGAACUCGGAGGGCAAGCAGACCAGAUCACGCUCCAUUCUGGCAUACAACGCUGGGGACGGUGGAGGUCAGUGCCCCAACAGCAGCGCCUUGCAGGAGGUCCGCAACUGCAAUGAUCAUCCCUGCACUGUGUACCACUGGCAGACAGGGCCCUGGGGUCAGUGCAUAGAGGACACCUCCGUUCCGUCUGCCAACAGCUCGCUCAGCCGCACCAGAGCAGGAGUCGGCACUAAUGAGGCGUUCUGCUCGGUCGGAAUGCAGACACGUAAAGUCAUUUGUGUCCGGGUCAAUGUGGGCCAGGUGCCACCUAAAAAGUGUCCAGAAAGUCUGCGCCCGGAGACUGUAAGGCCAUGUCUUCUGCCCUGCAAGAGAGACUGCAUUGUCACUCCAUACAGUGAUUGGACACCCUGCCCUUCCUUCUGCCAGACAGGUGGUGCCGUCAAAAAGAAGCAAUCAAGGAAACGCAUUAUCAUUCAGCUUCCAGCUAACGGGGGCCAAGACUGUCCAGAAGUGCUCUCCCAGGAGAAGGAAUGUGAUGCCUUGUCUGUUUGUCCAGGCUACAGGUGGAAAACCCACAAGUGGCGUAGGUGUCAGCUGGUGCCCUGGACCAUUCGUCAGGACAGUCCUGGAGCACAAGAGACCUGUGGACCAGGACUACAGGCUAGAGCCGUAUCAUGUAAAAAGUUGGAUGGUGGACCUGCAGACAUUGCAGCCUGUCUUAAGUUUGCAGGUCCUAUGCCUCAACUCACUCAGUCCUGCCAGCUUCCAUGCCAGGAUGACUGCCAGCUGACCACCUGGUCCAAAUUCUCAUCCUGCGCUGCUGAUUGUGUGGGUGUCCGAACUAGGAAAAGGACUCUUGUUGGUAAAAGCAAAAAGAGAGAGCAAUGUAAAAACACACAGAUGUAUCCUCUGAGCGAAACCCAGUACUGCCCCUGCAACAAGUACAAUGCCCAGCCGGUGGGGAAUUGGUCCGACUGCAUCCUGCCCGAGGGUGGGCGAGUAGAGGGUCUUUUGGGUAUGAAAGUUCAAGGUGAUAUUAAGGAGUGUGGCCAGGGUUACCGGUUUCAAGCCAUGGUGUGCUAUGACCAGGACAACCGCCUCGUGGAGACGUCACGCUGCAACAGUCACGGUUACAUAGAGGAAGCGUGUAUCAUCCCAUGUCCAUCUGACUGUAAGCUCAGCGAGUGGUCAAACUGGUCCCGUUGCAGUAAGUCCUGUGGCAGUGGAGUCAAAGUACGGUCUAAGUGGCUUCGAGAGAAACCUUAUAACGGUGGCAGGCCCUGCCCCAAGCUAGACCAUGUCAAUCAGGCUCAGGUGUAUGAAGUGGUACCAUGUUUGAGCGACUGCAGUCAGUAUGUCUGGGUGGCUGAGCCGUGGAGCGUCUGGAAGGUCAGUAAUGUUGAUCUGAAGGAGAACUGCGGGGAAGGUGUACAGACGAGGAAAGUUAGGUGCAUGCAAAACACUGUCGAUGGACCUUCAGACCCUGUAGAAGACUAUCUCUGUGAUCCAGAGGAGAUGCUGCUUGGAGCCAGAGAGAGCAAGUUGCCCUGUCCUGGGGACUGUGUUUUAACUGACUGGGGCCCUUGGAGUCGAUGCCCAUUGCCAUGCAAUGUGAAUAGUACAAGGCAGAGGAGUGCCAGCCCUAUGCGUCAGCCUGGGGAAGAGAAACAGUGUCCUUCAACUACAGAGAAAGAAACGUGCACCCUGAACACCAACUGCUUCCAUUACUCCUAUAAUAUUACAGACUGGAGCACAUGUCAGCUGAGUGAACGAGCCGUAUGUGGGGUUGGAUUCAAGACACGCAUGCUUGACUGUGUUCGCAGUGAUGGCAAGUCUGUGGACCUCAAGUUUUGCGAUGAGCUUGGUCUCGAGAAAAAAUGGCAGAUGAACGCUUCCUGUGUGGUCGAGUGCCCUGUCAACUGCCAGCUGUCUGAUUGGUCGUCCUGGUCUGAAUGCUCUCACACCUGCGGUCUUGCAGGGAAGCUCUGGAGAAGGAGAACUGUGAUCCAGGCCUCUCAGGGAGAUGGACGGCCAUGUUCCUCACAGCUGGAACAGUGGAAGCCCUGUCCUGUUAAACCCUGCUACAGCUGGAGGUACAGUGCCUGGUCUCCAUGCAAAUCUGAGGGUGCGCGGUGUGGAGAGGGACUGCGCUUCAGGAACGUGUCCUGCUUUGUGUCUGAUGGCUCGGGGAAGGAUCCGGGCAGUAUGGUGGAUGAUGAACUGUGUGGAGACCUGGAGCAGACUGUGGAUGGGGACAAACAGAUCAUCCUGCAGGAGUCCUGCACGGUGCCCUGCCCAGGUGAGUGUUACCUGACAGAAUGGACUGUGUGGAGCCCGUGUCAGCUGAGCUGUAUCAGCGGGGACGAUCUGGGCUUCGGUUCGGUGCAGGUGCGUUCUCGUGCCGUUCUAGCUCAGGAACCUGAGAACCUUCUUCAGUGUCCAGAACAGGAAUGGGAAGCCAGGCCAUGUACAGAGGGCCAGUGUUAUGAGUACAAAUGGAUGACAGGUCCAUGGAAAGUCUCGUCUCGACAAGUUUGGUGCCAGCGCUCUGAUGGAUUGAAUGUCACAGGUGGAUGCCCGUUGACAAGCGAGCCGGUGUCUGACAGAUCAUGUGACCCAGCCUGCGACAAACUUCGCUCCUACUGCACUGAGGCUGGUGUAUGCGGCUGCGAGGAGGGUUACACUGAGGUGAUGACUUCUGAUGGAGUGUUGGACCAGUGCACAGUCAUACCGGUGCUUGAGAUCCCCACUGCAGGAGACAGUAAGGCUGAUGUGAAGACGAUCCGAGCCCUCAACCCCACUCAGCCCACCGCCAACCUCCCGGGCCGCUCCGGACGCACCUGGUUCCUCCAGCCCUUCGGACCCGAUGGCAAACUGAAGACCUGGGUGUAUGGUGUGGCAGCUGGAGCUUUUGUACUGCUAGUGUUCAUUGUCUCUAUGACUUACUUAGCCUGUUUUUGUAUGCUGGCCCGGCGCUCUCCUCCGAGCCCGGACCCUUCCAUUACCUCUGUGGUUUGGGUCGGACCCAACGACCAAGAGCUGAUAUAUACCUGUCCUGACUGUCAGCGCAUUGAGACUCAGUUCAACUAGAGCUCUCAGCUCAGUCCCUUCCCUCAUGGCCUUGCCCUGUGGCCAGUCAUGUCCAUCACCUAUGCCUUCAGUUCUCACUGUCACAUGUGCCUUUCUGACCAGUCACAUGGAGCUGUUUGGUGGAGCAAAAAGCCAAAGAAGCCCCAGAGAAGACAGAUGAACAACAGACUCAAGCCUCUGACGCUGGCUUACGACGGCGACGCUGACAUGUAGCCUAACCACGUUCGCUUCGUACUACAGAUACUCGCCUCCUUUCACAGUCGGCCAUCAGUACAAGCCUCAAACAAGGAGACUCACUCAAACUCACCGACUGCUUUUUAUAAGACGCUAAUGGAACCUCAGAGAGAGACUCGAUCCGUGUUUAUAUAAUGUUUCUCCCCCCUCCUUUUUUUACGUUCAAGUUUUAUUUUUACUUUAUUUCACGAGAGCCUUCAUAAACUCUUCAAAAGUCUUCUUCAGGAAGUCUGCCUUCACCUCUUUGCCACUGACAUCUUUCUGUAACAUAGACUUUAGUCUUUCGGGAAGAAAGUUGCAGGACCUUUUUGAAAUUGGGAAGUUUUUUGCUGAGAAAGCACACAAAAAUGCCCGUCUCCUGUUUAGUCGCACUUCUUGUCAGCUCCUGCAGUAUGUACAUUAUCUGUGGCUGUUGGGAAGUCGCAUGUUCAGACAAACUAAAUGCACAAUAGCAUUUUCAGCCCCGAAACGCCCAAUAUUGUGUGAUCAAAAGAUUAAAAGACUGCAGAUUGAAUGGGCUCACUAGCGCCCCCUAUAGAAACUCUGGCCUGCCUUUCCCCCUUUUCUGUAUCCAGGCUCCAUUUUGCACUAUAUUAGUGCAGCAUGAACAUUUACUUAUAGCAUUGCCAUAGAAAACUGCCUCUCGCAAAACAAGAUGAUGUACAGUCUUGUGCUAGACACGUUUCUUUAAAAAAAAAAAAAAAAAAGAGAGCGAGAGAGAACAAAAGUAGCCCUUUUUCUUCUGAUGGAACUCACUGGUGUUUGUUUAUACAUACUUGUUUACUGGUUACCUCCUGUUUGUGAUAAAGGGGCCGUUGAAAAGAUUUUUGUGGACUCCACAAACCCCCCUGUUGUAUGUACAGUUGCAAUCAGCCAUGUGUUUGCUUUCUUUGCCUGAUUGACUCGUGUAUUCAAUGGUCCUUUUCACCUUAGAGAUCCAGGUCGGUGAAGUUUCCCAUGUGUUUCAGUCUUUCGUCUCUGAUUCCAAGGGCUCUGUGUUCAUAAUUCGAGCGCUUUUAACAGUAUGAUGUUUGAUUUACUGAUCCUACUGUGUCUGUGUGAACCAGUUCUGUUUGCAGUUUAUAUAACGUGACUGUCUAACACAAUAACAGCAUGCAGUUUCAUAUCAGCUAGAUUCGGAAAGAGCCAAUACUCUGAUACUGAAAGAUUACUUUUGGAAACAUUCGUUUGACAUUAUGAACCUGAUUUGAGGUUGAACAAAUCUCAGCUCAUUCAUUAGAAUGAAGAAACGCUGUGGUUUGUGCUGAGACAUUAUGUAAGGGAUGGUGUACAGUGAGCUGGUUAUUAUUGCAAAAUAAUGAUUUCUAAUAUAAAUGAUAGAAGAAACUUAAGCAGAAUGUUGCCUUUGCAACUAACUUGAAACAAAAUAAUACAGAAAAUAAAAUGGAACAUUCUAUGACAUAUCUAUAAUUUCAUCAUGUAUCUAUCUAUUUAAUUUAUUCUGUUAAAUCACAUCAUAAUGCACUGUUGCUUCUCAUGUAAAUCAAUCUUGUUUAGAAACUAAAAAUUGUGCAGUGUAUCCAUACAAAUAGACUAAUAUAUUCAAAGAAAUGUUUGAAUAUACAUUAGGCAAAUAUUGUACCCCGUUUCUGUACCCACACUGCCCCCUCAUAACCAUCAUCAUCAUCAAUGAACACUCAUCAUUUUCAAAUGCUAAAAUUAAAACUAAAACUGAAAUAAAACUUGACAAGCACAUACCAAAAUGACUAAAAUGAAAAUGGACCGUAUGAAUUAAAAGCUAAUUCAAAACAUUAAUAAUUAAAUGAACAAUACUAAAAUUACACCAGCUUACUGUACACAAUCCUGCUUAUUACACGGUUAUUUGGCAAAUACACAUUGACAUUGAAAAUUGAUUUAAAUAAUUUUAUAAUUUUACUUUUAUAUUACUGUAAAGCUUACACUAAGAAAAAAAGUUAGUUCCAAAAUACAGAACAAUCAGCCUAGCAACAAGACAACACUGCAACAUUACAGUAAUAUUAAAACUGAAGACAUUUAAUGUGAUACAUUAACUGAGACAUUAGAUGGCGCCAGUUGCGUUUUACUUGAAAGUGAAGCCAGUCUGAUAUACAGUGUUGCCAUAAAUGAUGAUUGACCAAACUAGAAUAUUCCAGAGAUCUGUGCAGUAAGGGGUUGUAAUGUUCAGUUUUCAAAGGAAAAUAUCUUCUUUUUUUUUUUUUUUUUAUUAUUUAGUAUUUUUAUUUAUUUAUUUUUCUUUUUUAAAUUUCAUUAUUAUUUAUUUAUUUAUUUUAUAAGGGUGCAAUUAUUUGUCACCAUGCCAUGAACCUGCGUAUAAGUAAUCACACACCAACAACGAUUGGUAACGAUAUGUGGAUUCAGAUAAGACUGGAAUGGUCAUCAGUGUCACCGACCGUCUAAAAAUUGGGUUGAAAAGCACAAAUAAGUAGGUUAGGGCCACUUUUUCCAAAAACCAUAUCUACAGUGAAUGAACUAUGGGCGCUAUUGAUCUCUAAAGGCAUAUCAUUGAAUUUGCUUUCAAAUGCAGCGGGUGAAAGGAAUGUUUACUUGUGUUAAUGCUUGUUUUGUUAAUUUGUAAAUACAUGAAUGAUCUUUUAUUUAAUGAUUUCUUUAUUAUAUAUAAAUUUGUUCAUUUCUUUUUUUACUACACAAAGUGUUUAGUAUAAACCUCUCAAAGUGUGUCUGAUGGUAUGUGUGUGUGGAGGGAGUGUGUUUUGUGUGAGAGAGAGUCUAUUGUUACUGAUCUUGGCUGGGGCGAACCAAGUUACUGUGUGAAAAUGUUGCUUUCUUCUUUUCCUACAGGUUGUUUAUAUGUGUCUGAUGAAUUGCUGAUAAUAAACAAGAAAAACA